rnacentral:rRNA from 1 species
CUACGGGGGGCAGCAGUGGGGAAUCUUAGACAAUGGGCGCAAGCCUGAUCUAGCCAUGCCGCGUGAGUGACGAAGGCCUUAGGGUCGUAAAGCUCUUUCGCUGGGGAAGAUAAUGACGGUACCCAGUAAAGAAACCCCGGCUAACUCCGUGCCAGCAGCCGCGGUAAUACGGAGGGGGUUAGCGUUGUUCGGAAUUACUGGGCGUAAAGGGCGCGUAGGCGGAUCAGAAAGUUGGGGGUGAAAUCCCGGGGCUCAACCCCGGAACUGCCUUCAAAACUCCUGGUCUUGAGUUCGAGAGAGGUGAGUGGAAUUCCGAGUGUAGAGGUGCAAUUCGUAGAUAUUCGGAGGAACACCAGUGGCGAAGGCGGCUCACUGGCUCGAUACUGACGCUGAGGUGCGAAAGCGUGGGGAGCAAACAGGAUUAAUACCCCCGUAGUC